CAAUUUAAUUGAUUUGAAAUUAUUACAAUUGUCAAGCUGGUUUGAAAUGAUUGUAAUGCAAAUUUUUAUCAAUGAUCUAUCAUAAGUAGUUACUCACAGACUAACUUAAGCAGAAAACUUAACAAUUGUACAAGUUGACGCCACUGCGUUUGCCAGAAAAGCUAUUUCCUACAUGUUCUAUGUUUUGCUUUUGGUAAAUUUUCAUCACAGGUGAAACAAACGAGUUUUAAGGACAUAACUGCCAUGACUACUAUGACUGUAGUAUGUAAUUUCACAUGUUUCAUCAUCAAAAAUAAAAUAAUUACAAAAAAAUACUAUGAGGGAGCAACUGAUGAUUUCCAACACUAUGACUUAUCUGUAAAUCUUGUAAAUAGUACUGAACAAGUUUGCUGUUCACAGUUUGUAUCUAUUUACA
rnacentral:lncRNA from 1 species